CUUGGCCUGUGAGACAAGCAGGUGGGAAAACAUUGAAACUGAGCCAUCAUCCGGUGGUGUGGACCCCCAAGAACAAAGCUGAAGCUCAGCCGCACAGUUACCAGGGCUCUGAAGGCCGGAAGAUGCUGGAAAUCGAUGGGGAGGACAGACAGAAAGCCUGCUCUGAAAAUACUGUCCACGAGGGCAUCCAACUCCCCUUUCCUUCCAGGGACCCCAGUGGGGCUGAAGCUUUCUACUCUGGGACUAGGGACGUGUUUCCUGCCAACUCCCACUAACCCUGAUGCCAGGAUCUCAGUGUGGGUUGAGUGUCCCUUCAUGUGUCCAGUCUUGGUUUCUGCUGCAAGAGGUUAGGAGGGGAAACUUUAUCCACCUGUUGUGUUUAGCAGUGGGCCUUUGGGAAGUGCUUAGGAUGAGAGUCGCUCAGUGCGACCUUGGGACUGAAUCCUGAUGGCUUUGAAAGGAGAGCAGGUAAGACCGGAUACACAGGAGUACAAGUGGCCACCGGAGACUCAACAGGGACCCCUUACAGAAGCUGAGCCGAGAAGAGCCUCGUGCCUUGAACCUAACCCACCUGGUGUUUACAUCGUUGUCUUUGUCCACUGGCCUGUAAGAUCCUGGAGAAGCGGAGAGGAAGAAAAGGGCAGAUUUACCCUCCGGAAGAACUCGUUGUGGACCAGCCUCAGCAGUCCAACAGAGAUCUCAGUCCCCUUUGCCAGCUGUCCAAGGCGGCACCUCACUACCUGGCAGCGGCUGUUACUCCCGUUCUGUCAGAAGAGAGGCAGAUCAGGGUGCUGGAGUGGAGAGCUCCCCUCCCAUCUCCACUUCCCCUGACCUUUCACCAGACACCAAUCUCUGCCUGCAUUCCUGUCCCAGCCACCUUCCGGGGCCUCCUACCAGUCGGUCUGUGUGCCGAAGUUCCUCUGGGUGCACAGGGGGCCCUGGGGGCUCAGUCAGGUUCUGCACCGUGCAGCUUGCCUAAAGGAAGAUCCAGCUUGAAAGACCCUCUAUGGACAACCCCUUCCCUCCCUCCCAAGCCACCUGGAAAAGAAUGGUUGGCCCCAGGAGGCGGCGGCGCUCCGCCAGCGGUGGGCCGGCAGACAGGAGUCCACCGGUUCAAGACGGCAGCGCCCUAGCCCGGACUCACGUUGCUACUGAUGACCUGAGAUAACGACAGGAAGUAAUCGCCCCCGUGGGCUACCGCGGGAAGGAGGGCUGAGAUGAUGAGGCCACUGACCACGUGACAGCCAAGGUUCUGAACCUGGGAGAAGAAUUUACAUUGGAAGGAGGCGAGAGACAGAGGACCUGCUUCAUCUGUUCCCCUUCAGCCACGAUUCUUCUCGUCCUUCCCCCCCCCACACAGCUAUUGCCCCUCCCCCACCCCACCCCUAGCGUGCCAAGACCGCUCCCCACCACCAGCUUCUCACCCUGAGAGUGGUUUUGAAUUCAGGGCCAGGACCCGCUGGGAGAGUUCUGUAAGGGUGAACCUCGUAUCGAUGCAGAGUGGACUCGCUGUGGAGAUACCACGUCAUGGCCGUGAGGAUGACACAGGGCACAUGAUCGCCAUACAGACAUGGAUUCCGGGAAGGGUUGCUGACACCAGCAGUUUCUGCCGGCCGCCGUGAACCACAAAUGGAGACUUCCUAAGAACGGGACAUAAAGGAAAGACUGAGAGUUCACUGGGAGAGCAGCCCUGGGACCCCAGACCAUGCAGGGCAUGGCACUGCUAACCAGUGUUUGGACAGAGGUGGACGAUCCCUCAUCCAGCACAGGUCCUGGCUUGGUGGUGUUGUCCAAGGCAAAAGUCACAGUCAAGGCCACUGGCCGGAGGUAAUCCGACGUAUCCUGAGGAGAAGCAGAAUGAAGGACAGAUCGUGGGGAAACAGGAUCAGAGCAGAAGCCAGGCCUCUGCAGAGGACGCCAAGUGUGACCGUCCAGGAAGCCCUUUCUAUGUCCUGGGCACCGUGUCCCAAGGUUGUCGCAAUAUGAUGGACUGUGACUCAAAUACAACCCCUCUGAUACAGUUAUCCGUGUGUAUCAUCCCUUUCAGUCAAGGACCCUGAGAUGCGGCAGCCAAGUGACUUGGCAGAGUUCAUAGUGACAAAUUAUAGAGCAAGGUUUCCAGUCCUAUCAUCCUGACCCCUGAUCUGGAUUGUCUCAGUCUCUCCGCUUCAGUUUUGUCGCUGGUCUGGUUGAAACGCCCCUGGGACCCAGGCUUCCCCUCACUCUCGGGCCCAGUGCGAAGCAGUGGCUAACCCCUCCUCACCAGCACGUGGAAGUGCAGCCGUUCACAGGUGACAUUCCCUACAGUGAGCUGGAGCGGUCUCGGGGACAGCCGCUGGCCAGAGCCAUCGAACGCUGCACGCGCCCCGGCUGUCCACUCAUCCAGUGAUGCUGAGAAGCGUAUGUCUGAUCGGGAGAGGCAAGCAUGAGAAUGGAGACAGGUGCCCACACCAGGGUGGGCCAGGGCUGGGGCGUUGUCUCGGAUACACUGUCGUCACUCACAGAACCUGCGGUCCCAACGCCCUGGAGUGUGAGAGGUCACUUGGAAGCACAGGGCUGCUGUCAGGCAGGCUGCUUCCUGGCCUCUUCGCCUACAGUCCUUCUGAACGACGCUGAUGUGCGGCGGCAUCACAUCCAGGCUUGGAAGCAGGUGUAUGAUGGGCUGGGAGCUGGGAACAGGGUGGGGAAGAAAUUCUAAAAGGAGCAGGUAAGUCCUCCCCUCCACCCCCAAAAGUACAACCCUAGACUGAGGAUGGAGCUCAGUGGUAGAGCUCUUCAGGGUCCGAGCUUGCACUUCAGAACCAGAAGAAAAGAAAAAGAUAAGAAUUGCAACCUUAGUACUUGCUUCCCCAUGAUUAAGGAAGAAAAAAAAAUUAAGGCCUGAAUAGGUCACCCUUCCCAGAAGCCUAUGACAGAAGUCACAUAACAAUACAUUCAAUUUUUCCUGUCCGGAGCUGAGGACCCAACCCAGGGCCUUGUGCUUGCUAGGCAAGCACUCUACCAUUGAGCUAAAUCCCCAACCCUCAAUACAUUCAAUUUGAUAAGCACUAAUGUCAGAGCUGGAGAGAUGGCCCAGUGAUUAAAAGCACUGGCUGCUCUUCCAGAGGACUCAGGUUUGAUUCUUAGCACCCACAAAGCAGGUUAAGGCCCGCUGUAAAACUCCAGUUCCAGGAGAUCUGAUACCCUCUUCUGGUCUCCGCAGGUACUGCACGCACGCGCACACACACACACACACACACACACACACACACACACACACACACACUACACAGUACACAGACAUACACACAGGCAAAACACCCACACACAUAAAAUAACAAUAAAUAAGCACGGUUAGAAAUCUUCAUGUGGACUAUCCCAUUUGAUAUCUGCAACAAACCAGUAGGAUAGUGACAAUUACUUUUAUUCUAUGAACUAGGAGCUUAGGCAUCAGCUUAGCUGACCAAGAAACCCAAAUCUAAAUUGGUGACCUUUGUUCUUAUAAGCUGUGCCAUCCUGUGCACCGCUACCCAAGCUGAUACCCCCUCACCUGAGCAGGAUGGCUGCCCCAUGGGCACCCACAGCAACGUCCACGAGAUCAUCUCCAUCCAGAUCUAACCGGCCGUCCACGCUUCGGCCGAAGUAGCGGAGGGCCUGUGGCAUGGAUCUAGCAGCGAUCCGCUGGGAGGAGGUGGGGGGGGGAGACUGAGGAAGGAUGCACAUCUGCUUUUCUGUCCACCUGUAAGCCUCUUUCUAACAUUCCCAUCCAUCAAGAGAAUAAGAAAAAUUCGCCCAUCUCAAGACCCCCUCCCUUACCAUCUCAUUUCUCAACCCAUGAAUACAGGCACGGGCGUGGAUGAGUCUUAAGCCAAGUGGAUAAGCAGAGAAAACAACUCCCUUCCCUUCCUACCACUGAGUCCCAUGUUCAAUUGUUUGUUUUGAUUUUGAGACAUCUCACCAUGCAGUCCUGCCUAGCUUGGAACUCACUUAUGUGGGCCAGGCUGGCCUUGAACUCACAGAGGUUCACCUUCUGGGGUGAAAGGCAUAUGCCACCACACUGCUAACCUGGGUAGGAUGGGGCCUGAUCCCAUUCUGGGCUCCAUGAUACAGGUAUAGCGCUCCCUGGUGCCCAUCCUCCAGGGGUGCCCCCACAGCCACAUCAGCGAAACCAUCUUGGUUCAGGUCAGGAAGAGCAGCCAUGGCAAAGCCAAAUCGAGAAUCCUGGGGGCGUUCUGGCUGAAGGGUUCCUUGGAGCAUCAGCAGACUUUGCUUGUAGUGGUGAGGAGACAGAAGGGAUCGCUUGUCUGGUGACCCUCACCUCUCAGCGAGCUCUCAGAUAUGUGUCUCUCUCUCCCCCUUCUUCCACUACCACCCCACACACAUCUUAGGGGGUCCCCCGAUCUCACCUGGCCCACCACAUACACGUAAACACGUCCGGUCUCUUUGUUCUGGGGACCCAGAAACAUGGGGGCCGCCACAAGUAAGACAUCAGUUAUUCCGUCACUGUCUGUAUCCAGUGGGCACAGCUCACCGCCAAAGUACGAGCCAAUCUGGGCGAGGUGGGCGGUGAGGAGCCCAGAGGGAAGGAAAGGUGACUGUGGACAGCUGGACUCAGCAGGAAGCACUCACCACUGUGCCAGUCUGGUCCUCACACCCCUGACAGACUGUCUGCCAGAAUUCAGCAUGGACUUCCCAGCCUUGCCCUUUCCCUAAGCACUCUUCUUCAGCCUGGACGUCCUGGGGACCCAAGGGUCCCACCCUCCCCUGAUGUCAUACCUGGUCCCCCUGGAGGCUCUGGGUGACCCUCAGAGACCCAUCUUUCUUUAGCUGGAAGACUAUGACCUUUCCUCGAUGUCUAAACCUCGGUGCCCCCGAGAGAAAGAGGCGCCGUCCACCCGGCAGAUUUAUGGAGGAAACAGAGUAACCUAGAAGCGAGGAGGGAUCAGAUGUAAAAGGAAAAGAAGAUGGGGUAAGAGUGGACGGUGUGCUAAGGGCGUCAGGUGAGUUCUCCAGAGAGAUCAGUGAAAAACUGCCUGAGUGAAGAGGGAGGGCCUCCCACCCCUACUGGCUCUCCCUCACCCUCCCAGCGCCCCCCCCAACUCUGUUACUCACCCAGGUAGGCUGCGUGGUUCUGCAGUGCAGGGGGAAACUCAUCUUCCAGGGCCGUUCGUGGGGGGAAGAGGCGGCGACCUUCUUCAAGCCAUAGCACCGAGCCCCCCCAGUCGUAGGCCCCCACCAUCCCAAAGAGAAUCCCAUCCUGAGGGGCGGAACCAGACGAGGACACUGAGAAGACAGUGGGGAAUAGGAGAAAAACGACUCCCCGGGAGUAAGAUGCUCAUGGAAGGGCACACUGUGGUCAGAAAAGUGCAGAAGGUCGGGAUGCAGGAGUAAGAUGCUCAUGGAAGGGCACACUGUGGUCAGAAAGGUGUGGAAGGUCAGGAUGCAGGUGUGGAAGGUCAGGAUGCAGUCUGGUUAAAGGAGAAAUCUAGACGGGCCUUAGGGUUGAAGUUAUCUGAGUCAGGGGCUGGAGAGGAUUAUGAUGAGAUCAAGGGCCCGGGGAUGCUGCAGAAGGUCAGGGUCUGUCCAACCUGUAGCCGGUGGGUGGAGAAGCCAAUCUCAGACAUUUCUAGCCCAAAGGAGCUUUCAUUUUCUCCACGGGACCCUUGGACAUGAGAAAAUUGCAAAGCGCUAUCAGGGGAGCUCGCUCUACUGAACUCACUCUAGAAUGCCCCUAACCCGGUCUUCCAUUUCGCCAGGAUAAUCAUUACCUUCAAGACCAAAAAUCCGGUCUCCCAGUGCGUCCACAAUGUCUGUCAGUGCGGCCUCAUCUGUGACGUUGAAGAAGAAUCGCUCGUCUGGAUCACUAGCGAUGUCUCUGAUUUCCCGAAGAAAAGAGCUAGGGUCUCUCUGUCGCCGGAGAUAGUGACCAAGGACCUGGGUUCAAGACGGGGGUCUAUUAGCUGUGUGAAGCAAGUUGUUAGAGCUGACAGAGAACAUAGCCAGCUGAAGAAAGAGGAAGGAAAUAACAAUCGAAGUCCAGGGAGUUGCUGAUACUAUUUCCUCUGUGUUUCACAUCCUGAAAACCUUUCUCCAUCUCUCUUUUUAGAUCCAGAGUCUAUUCUUGGUCUGGGAAAAUAACUCAGUGAGUAGAGUGCUCGCCACGUGAGCCUGACAGCCUGAGUUCAGAUCCCCAGACCCCGUAAAAUCAUAAAAUGCUGGACGGUAGCACAAGCUUUAUCUGCGAUCCUAGCAGGCUCGACCAGGAGACAGGAAGCUGAGUCAGAAGACUGGCCCAAACCUGUGGGCCAGCUGGCCUGGCCUAUUGCACACAGCUGAACAAGAGACCCAGUCUCAAACAAGGUGGAAGCCUCGCAGGCCUUUAGUGCUGCUGGAAGGUCCUCUCCAUCAUGGGAUUCGCCAUCAGUGACAACCACCAGCAGCCUGGCAGCCUCGGGUCUGCCCCCCCGGGACUCACUGAACCCUUCUGUGCUAGGAAGAGAAAAGAAUGAGAUACAGUCAUGCGUAUGAGCGUGAUGGACCACUCAUGCACAGGGCUCUCCCCGUACUGGACCAGCCCGACCUGAAAACAACAAGGCAUGUUCCCAAAUGGAUGUCUGCAGAGGACGAAGGAGAAGAAAGGAUGGAGAAGAAACGAAC